GCUCAUAUAGCUCAGCUGGUAGAGCACGAGACUCUUAAUCUCAGGGUUGUGGGUUUGAGCCCCACUUUGAGUG
rnacentral:tRNA from 1 species